rnacentral:rRNA from 1 species
UACGUAGGGUCCGAGCGUUGUCCGGAUUUAUUGGGCGUAAAGAGCUCGUAGGCGGCUCGGUAAGCCGGAUGUGAAAACUCGGGGCUCAACCCCGAGACGCCAUCCGAUACUGCUGUGGCUUGAGUCUGGUAGGGGAGAACGGAAUUCCUGGUGUAGCGGUGAAAUGCGCAGAUAUCAGGAGGAACACCGGUGGCGAAGGCGGUUCUCUGGGCCAGUACUGACGCUGAGGAGCGAAAGCGUGGGGAGCGAA